ACAAAGUGGGUGUUAAUUAAUUAUUUUAUAUUAGCUUUUAACUUCUCUUUGUUAAUGGUUACUGUAUAUGCUCCAUGUGCUGAUUAGGAUUAGCUUUUUUAGUGGAAUGAGAUCGAGCAAGCUUCAUCCACAGGGUCUAGCUCAUUACUAUUAUCCAAUGAUUUUAAUUAGAUCUUAGAUGAAUCUGAAAGAAAACGCGGGUAUUACUCUCCUAUUAGGGUGCACAAUUUCAAGUCUUUCAUUGAUUAGUGCUUACUGAUCUAGACUUAACUGGUAAACACUUCAAAUGGCGCAAAUCCAGAUGUGUGAGUCAAAUUCAUAAAGUUUUAGUAUCACACUACUAGUUAUCUACUUUUCUAAAACUUCUCCUCACUAGUUUUCCUAGAGGCAGCUCCGACCAUAAUCCUAUUCUUCUCACCACAAAUAAAGUGGACUGGGGGCCUAAGCCCAUUAGAUUUCUAGAUGUAUGGUGGACAUGGCUCGGAUUUUACAAUAUUGUCAGAGGUUUUUAGGAUGAAAUAUAUACAAUAAAUACUUGUACUUUAUUACUUUACUGAUUGAAAUUUCUGCGUCAGAAGUUAAAGGCUUAGAGUGAUUCUAAGUUUGGUCAUGCAGAUUUAAAGCUCCAACAUUUUAAGAAGCUCUUGGAAGAAUGAGAGAAUACUGCAAAAACUCGUGACUUGCUCUCUCAUGAGCUUGAUGAGGUCCAAUCUUUGUGAUGGGAAAAAGCAACUUUAUCAACUUGAUGUGAAAACAUUUGAAGGCUGAAGUCAAGGCUACAUCAUGUCUUCAAAAACUAGAAGUAAAGAAACUACUAGGUUUCAGGACAUGAAGGGAAGUCCUAUUACAGUUGAUCCAAAUGUUGCAGGUUCUGCUUAUGGUGGAACAGUUCAAGAGGUGACCAUCGCAUGGAGAGGAAGUCCAUAUUCCAAAUGCAACAGAGGCUGUACUUACCUUGCAUAGUAAUCCAAUCUAGGAAAGGGGUGGAAUAGUUAAUAAUGUUUUUGAUAUGGAAAAACUAGCAUCAACUAUCACAAAUGCUUUGAUAAAAGGCAUAAAUUCAUGGGUGGAUAAAUUUCAUCAAUUAGAUGCACAAUUUAUUUCUAUGGAAUAUAACAUUCCAAUAUCUAUGCUACUUCUUAAUGGCCAGAUUCCUAGGUUAGAGGCAUCUGAUUCGGCAUCUAGGAGUGCCAGGGAAAUCAAGGGAAAGUCUUUACCAUAACUCCUCAAGCCAAUUCUGAAGCAAGGUACUAGCCACCCCCACGGGAGAGAUGAGUAAGUGGCAUGCCAAUCUAGACCAUCUGUGUAAGUCAGCCGCCCCUGCAAUAAAAUAGGUGCUCCCAUCCAAAUUAUUGGAAGUAGUAAACCUAUGACUCAUACAAGUAUUUAUAAUGCAAAGAUAAUCACAGGUUCUCAAACCACUCUAGCACCUCAGCAGAUGCUUACAGCUUAGCUGGCCUUUGGUUUUGGGGGUAAUAGUCACAUGAAGGAACGGAAGCGUGAAAAAC
rnacentral:misc_RNA from 1 species